CCCCCAAUCAUGUUUUUUUUUUUUUACAAUUAAAUAACUUAAACAAGUGAUAUAAAUGAAUGAAUGAAUGAAUACGAAUGAAUAAUUCGAGACGAGAAAAUUUCUGAUUUGCCGAAAACUGCUGCUGUGUCUGCUAGCGUUUGAGUCAUGCGCAAUUGCGCAUAGACACCUCGCGUGCAUUGACAAUUCGCGCUGGCACGCAAGUGCACUGUAAUAAAUGAUAAGCCAUGUCACAAAAAAGGAUUUAUCUGUCUGGUGCCGAAAAGAGAAAGAAGAAAAGGACAGAGGAUGAGAAAAAAGAGCAAGAUAAAGGAACACUGUUGAAGUACUUUGGAGCACAACCAACUCUACCCGCCCCUGAUGUUUCAAGUGUCAGUGCCUCCACAGCUGAUGAUACAGCAGGUUCAUCCACUGCAGAGUUACAAGCACCUGAAAGUGAG